rnacentral:sRNA from 1 species
UUACUUCCAAAUUUUCCUAAGCUUCGAAAUAAACACUUCCACUGUUGCGAAAAUUUAUGGAUAUAAUAUAGAUAAAAAGCUGAGCCACACUAUCUACCUAUCUCAUAAACGAAUGCCAUGAAAUCUUUUUGUGGUCUAAAUUUGUUUUGUAGUCACAGAAAAUAGAGUUUUUAUCGUCAUAGUUAGAGACAUUUCAAUUCCCUUAGCACAAAAUUGACUUGACGAUGUUCGACUUAAUGAAGCUUGACUGUACAAAGAUGGCAAUACGUGUAUUGACGCGACUGCAGGCGAAGAUUUCAAGGUAUUUUUGCAUGCCAGACCCAUGGAAAAUCGGAUGCGUAUCGAUUUAGUAAUUUCCGCGCGACUUUUCCGCUCAGCGGGCGGCGCCUCGAAAAUGGCAACAUUUUCUUGGAUGUUGCUGUUUGCUGGGCCGUCAAGACAACUUGGACUUGGCCAGUAGCACAGACAGUCUAGAUGGAUGGGAAAACUUGUUUAUAUGGCUCACCGAAAUUACGGCCAUUGCUUGUGCUCCGAAAUUCAGCAGCGUGCUUGCGGGGAGGUAACCAGUUUGGUGGUGACCCCGAACCACUUUCGCAUUCUCUUUGGCGAUUUACGAUGCAGCUAGCUAGUGCCUCUCGUACUUGCGUUAAGUGCAGGCAUAUAUAUCUCUAAAUAUCACAGUAUAUCAUUUCAACUGAUAUCAGGACAUCAUAAAGCAUAAAGCCUAGAGAUACGCAUUGAUUGAUUUACAUGGGAAGGGACUGAAAUCAGUGGAAUAUCAUUGGCUGGGAUCGAGUUGAGAAGUAGCUUUAAUCAGCAUUAUCGGAUAACCAGUUAAAAACAGUUACUGUGAUUUAGUUUAUAGUUGAAGUCGACUGCGACUUCAUGAGUUUUCCUUUAGCAUUAACAGUACUCGUAUAAAGUGAGUGCGAGUGUGAUUUAAUGGGUGAAAGUGAGUGUGUGAAUGGGAUGUAAUCAAUUGUACGAGUAUAAUCUAAGGCAUAAUUUAUUCAGGCCAUCAGCAGCUUAGCUAACCCUUAAGUAGGACUACAUUUCGUGUUGUACCAAGCAAUCUACUUUCCUAACUCCAUCCAUAGCCGGCGGCGGUGUGAAAUCAUAAACGCAAUCAAGCAAUGCUACGCCUACGACAUAGAGAUUAAGUCAGACGAAACUCUCAUCAGCAACAGCAUGCCAUCCUUUUCCCUGCAUCCCUCAGUAUAUCUGAAUAUCUGAUUUCCGGAACAUCAGCUCACAAGUCAGGCCUAUCAAGUCAAACAGAUGCUUCGGGUGAGGAGAUGGCAUCCGUCCCGUCGAAGGACGGACAAACUCGGCGGAUGGAGUUCAUCGUCGCACGCCCACACAUAAUCCGCAUAAUCUGCAUGCAAAUAUAUGUAAAUUUAUUAAUAGUUGUGUGUGUACGAACAGCAAGUUUUUGGAAACGAACAAAUAAAUAGACAAUUCGAAAAGACAAA